rnacentral:ncRNA from 1 species
GCAAUCUGGAGAGCGCUGAGUGAAUGUAUCAGCCACCGAAGGGGCACUCGGGAAGUGAUUUCCGAUAAAACUCUCAGGUAAAUGGACAGAGGGGAAUGG